rnacentral:rRNA from 1 species
GAUGAACGCUAGCGGAAGGCCUAACACAUGCAAGUCGAGCGGUAUUUGGUAGCUUGCUACUAGAGAGAGCGGCGUACGGGUGCGUAACAUGUGUGCAACCUACCCUUAUCAAGGGGAUAGCCAUUCGAAAGGAUGAUUAAUACCCUAUAAUAUAUCAGGUGGCAUCAUUUGAUAUUGAAAGCUACGGUGGAUAAGGAUGGGCACGCACAAGAUUAGCUAGUUGGUAAGGUAACGGCUUACCAAGGCGAUGAUCUUUAGGGGUCCUGAGAGGGAGAUCCCCCACACUGGGACUGAGACACGGCCCAUACUCCUACGGGAGGCAGCAGUGAGGAAUAUUGGACAAUGGGUGGGAGCCUGAUCCAGCCAUCCCGCGUGCAGGAAGAAGGUCUUAUGGAUUGCAAACUGCUUUUAUAUAGGGAUAAACCUACUCUCGAGAGGGUAGCUGAAGGUCCUAUAUGAAAUAAGCACCGGCUAACUCCGUGCCAGCCACCGCGGUAAUACGGAAGGGGGCAAGCGUUUUCCCGAUUUAUUGGGUUAAAAGGGCUCGUAAGCGGGUUAUUAAGUCAGUGGUGAAAUCUCAUAGGUGUUUUAUGAAACUGCCAUUGAUACUGAUAGUUUUGAGUAUAUUUGAAGUAGCUGGAAUAAGUAGUGUAGCGGUGAAAUGCAUAGAUAUUACUUAGAACACCAAUAGCGAAGGCAGGUUACUAAGAUAUUACUGACGCUGAGGGACGAGAGCGUAGGGAGCGAACAGGAUUAGAUACCCUGGUAGUCUACGCUGUAAACGAUGCUAACUCGUUUUUGGUAUUUAGGUAUCAGAGACUAAGCGAAAGUGAUAAGUUAGCCACCUGGGGAGUACGCUCGCAAGAGUGAAACUCAAAGGAAUUGACGGGGGCCCGCACAAGCGGUGGAUUAUGUGGUUUAAUUCGAUGAUACGCGAGGAACCUUACCAAGACUUAAAUGGGAAUUGACAGCUAUAGAGAUAUGGUUUUCUUCGGACAAUUUUCAAGGUGCUGCAUGGUUGUCGUCAGCUCGUGCCGUGAGGUGUUAGGUUAAGUCCUGCAACGAGCGCAACCCUUGUCACUAGUUGCCAUCAUUAAGUUGGGGACUCUAGUGAGACUGCCUACGCAAGUAGAGAGGAAGGUGGGGAUGACGUCAAAUCAUCACGGCCCUUACGUCUUGGGCCACACACGUAAUACAAUGGGCGAUACAGAGGGCAGCUACACAGCGAUGUGAUGCGAAUCUCGAAAGUCGUUCUCAGUUCGGAUUGGAGUCUGCAACUCGACUCUAUGAAGCUGGAAUCGCUAGUAAUCGCGUAUCAGCCAUGACGCGGUGAAUACGUUCCCGGGCCU